UGGGGAAUAUUGCACAAUGGGCGCAAGCCUGAUGCAGCCAUGCCGCGUGUAUGAAGAAGGCCUUCGGGUUGUAAAGUACUUUCAGCGAGGAGGAAGGUGUUAAGGUUAAUAACCUUGGCGAUUGACGUUACUCGCAGAAGAAGCACCGGCUAACUCCGUGCCAGCAGCCGCGGUAAUACGGAGGGUGCAAGCGUUAAUCGGAAUUACUGGGCGUAAAGCGCACGCAGGCGGUCUGUCAAGUCGGAUGUGAAAUCCCCGGGCUCAACCUGGGAACUGCAUUCGAAACUGGCAGGCUAGAGUCUUGUAGAGGGGGGUAGAAUUCCAGGUGUAGCGGUGAAAUGCGUAGAGAUCUGGAGGAAUACCGGUGGCGAAGGCGGCCCCCUGGACAAAGACUGACGCUCAGGUGCGAAAGCGUGGGGAGCAAACAGGAUUAGAUGCCCUGGUAGUCCACGCCGUAAACGAUGUCGACUUGGAGGUUGUGCCCUUGAGGCGUGGCUUCCGGAGCUAACGUGUUAAGUCGACCGCCUGGGGAGUACGGCCGCAAGGUUA
rnacentral:rRNA from 1 species